rnacentral:lncRNA from 1 species
CUUUAACAUAAUAUCAAAUCACACACUUCACUGCAGCCUCAUGUUUUCAUCUGAGCGGAGGAUGUCUGGAGGCUGUGAGAGGACAUAAUGAUGGACAGCAGAGUCUAUCAGCAGUGUGUGUCUGUGUCUUUGUCUCUCUGUGUCUGUGUCUCUUUGUGUCUCUGUGUCUGAGUCUCUUUGUAUCUCUGUGUCUGAGUCUCUUUGUAUCUUUGUGUCUGGACUGUUUGACAGGCUGUCAGGAGCAGCCAGGAGGACUUCACACAGUUAGCCAUGGGAGGCUAGCUAGCAGCCAGCAGAGACUCCACAUGACACAAAUAAACAGUGCAGAGAGAAACAGAGCAGCAUGUUUAUCCGAAGUGUCACACCGGGAUGUCAGAGUGAGACGCUGCCGCUCCGCCGGCCGGUUCAUCCUCUCAUCAGCCCGCAGCUCAUUCAUCUGCUCGGCUCCAUCCUCCUCCUGCCGCCGCUCCGCUGGGAGCAUUAAAGUCACGACGUCAUCACGCAGCCCCUGGAAUUUGACGUAAUUGUUUAAGUGUUAAAGGAGGAACUCUGGUCCUGUGGAACAUGUAAAGUGUCACCAGAUGGUUCUAAGAGACCGUGAAAGAACAAAAACAGUCCAACAGAUCUUCUCCUGUAAUGUCGUACAGAGACACUGGUUGGCGCCAAAGGACACCAAAUACACCAGACAGACCUGACAGAAGACUGGACUGCAAAAAGUUCUGUUAGUUUCUUAAAUAUGAGUUUUGGGUACUUCUA